GCACGUUUGUCCGAGUGGUUAAGGAGGGGGACUUAAGAUCCUCUGGGCACAUGCCCGCGUGGGUUCGAACCCCACAGCGUGCU
rnacentral:tRNA from 1 species